rnacentral:lncRNA from 1 species
CUUGUUGACUUGGUUUGGUUGGUAGCCAACCUUGUUGAAUUAGUUUGGUUUGGUAGCCAACCUUGUUGAAUUUCUUUGGUUUGGUAGCCAACUUUGUUGAAUUGUGAAAAGUGUGUGUAAAUUGUCAAAUAUUGUAGGCUUUAGAGGGUGAAGCUUUGGCUAUAAAAGGAGAGCUUCAACUCUCAUUUCUACACACCAACAAAGAGAGAAAGAAAGAGUAAGGUUUCACAGACAAGGN